UAAUUAUUUGUUGCACAGGAAGGAAACAAUGACUUGUGAAUAUGAAGCGAUAGUGCUUUCACCAGUACUGUGCAGUUAUCCAGAUUACAAACCACAAGACACUGGAGAAAAUGAAAUUACAUGUCAACCUGUCGAUAAUGCACCAAAGAAACCAAAGUCACUUAUGUUGAUGGAACUGGAAAGUAUAAAAACGCGACAUCAACAACAAGUGAGGGAUGACAAGCAGCAGAAAGUGUAUUAAUGUGAUAUGUGAUGUUUAUAAAAAUCAGGAAGGAAACAAUGACUUGUGA